UACGUAGGGUGCGAGCGUUAAUCGGAUUUACUGGGCGUAAAGCGUGCGCAGGCGGCCCGUUAAGACAGGUGUGAAAUCCCUGGGCUCAACCUAGGAACUGCGCUUGUGACUGGCGGGCUCGAGUACGGUAGAGGGGGGUGGAAUUCCUGGUGUAGCAGUGAAAUGCGUAGAGAUCAGGAGGAACACCGAUGGCGAAGGCAGCCCCCUGGGCCUGUACUGACGCUCAUGCACGAAAGCGUGGGGAGCAAACAGG
rnacentral:rRNA from 1 species